UGGGGAAUUUUGGACAAUGGGGGCAACCCUGAUCCAGCAAUGCCGCGUGAGUGAAGAAGGCCUUCGGGUUGUAAAGCUCUUUUGUCCGGGAAGAAAUCCCAUCCCUGAAUACGGGAUGGGGAUGACGGUACUGGAAGAAUAAGCACCGGCUAACUACGUGCCAGCAGCCGCGGUAAUACGUAGGGUGCAAGCGUUAAUCGGAAUUACUGGGCGUAAAGCGUGCGCAGGCGGUUGUGCAAGACCGAUGUGAAAUCCCCGGGCUUAACCUGGGAACUGCAUUGGUGACUGCACGGCUAGAGUGUGUCAGAGGGGGGUAGAAUUCCACGUGUAGCAGUGAAAUGCGUAGAGAUGUGGAGGAAUACCGAUGGCGAAGGCAGCCCCCUGGGAUAACACUGACGCUCAUGCACGAAAGCGUGGGGAGCAAACAGGAUUAGAUACCCUGGUAGUCCACGCCCUAAACGAUGUCAACUAGUUGUCGGGGAUUAAUUUCCUUGGUAACGCAGCUAACGCGUGAAGUUG
rnacentral:rRNA from 1 species